GUUGAACAGGAAACAUCUUUGUGCACCCAGCUGUGACUAGUGCAGCCAUAUUGGCACACCAGAUUGUAGAAUGCAUUCUCCAACUAAUGCCUCUGAGGACAAAAUUUAUGGGACUCCAAGUCCCGAAAUUGUGCAACACAGUCCUCCAAUUCCGCCUACCAUGAGUGCUCAUUCGGGUGAAGACCAGGACACCCAGAUAGAUUUCACACAGACUCAGAGUAAAAGUCAGAGUCAGAAUACAUCAGGGAAAAAAAAGGAAAGCUACCUCAAAGAAAGCUGGUAAAAAAUCGAAAAGCAAAACCAAAAAUCUAGAAUAUGCGGUGGAUCCUACUGAUUUUAAAAGCGAGGAAGAAAUAAAUCUGGUUCAAGAGAGACCCUCACUCUGGGAUCGCACACAUCCUAUCCAAUAUAUACGAUAAUAACCGAGUUAUAUCAAUGUAUUAAACGUAUGCACAACGCCCAUACGACAGAGCUCCAGCCUCUUUGUUCAACAGUUCAUAAUUAGACACAUGUGUAUAGGGCCCUAUACACGUGUGUCUAAUUGACACACACAUCCUAAACAUUCGGACAACAACUACAAUCGGAGAAGAUGGCAUGAGAUCUUCGUGGCAAUUUUCCCUGACUUCGAGUCUUAUGGAACUACACUGAAAAAUAUGAUAACUUUUUAUUGUGAUAAAUUGUAUUUAGAGUUUAAAUAAUUGUCGUUUUACAUUUAUCUCCCCACAGAGGACAAUAUAGCGAAAAGAUGGCGAUCAGUUAGAGACAACUAUUUCAAAUAUUUACGGGUUUGCAAGUUACCAAGUAGCUCCGAUGCUAAGAAGAGCCAGUACAAGCAACAAGAUUGUCUUUUUUAGACAGAAUACAGGAAAUGAGAGGAACUACACCUAAUACUGCUCCUCAGAUUCAAGAGCAACCGAAAGAAAUUCAAGAAGCGGGAACAGACGUUGAUAUGGAAAGACAUCAUUCAUCAACUGUAGAAAAUCUAAGGCGACAUAUAUCUGAAAGACAUUCAACUCGAAGAAGCCACAGUUCCAAUUGGCAGGAGGCUUUUCUUGAAGCUAUAGAGAAGCUGGAAAACAGCUUUACUAAUAAACUCCUCCAAUUGGAUCUGCGGCUUCUUCGAGUUGAAGGUUUAGUGUCAGGGCCAACUCCAAGUCCAAAGAGAGACUUCGCAUUGGGUUUGGUGUCAGAAAUUGACAAAAUGUCCGAAGAACAAUUAAACAUUUUCAAAUCUAGAGUGUUAAGAAUCUCUUAUGAAUGCCUUCAUCCCCAGCCCAAACCAAUCUACCCUCCCCCUUCACCUUCAGUCCAUCCAUCCCGCAAAAAACCAUACUCUUCCUCAUAUCCAUACCAGCAGCCUCAGGAAACAUUUGAGAAAGAAGGUCAAAUAUAUCGUAGAAUUUAACUUUGUUGACUAUUAGUUUUGUUUUUCCAGUUAUAUAUAUUUAUGUUAAAGGACAGCUGUAGUGUGCUUUUUUAAUAUAUCCCUGUGCCUGCGCUGUAAAAAUAAACUUUGACUUUUACCUUCCUAUGUUCCCCCGUUGAUCCAGUGUGGGCCUUACAGUCUGUCGAUGCGAUCCUCUUCAUGCUUCCUUGGGACAUGUAUGCCACACUUCCCUCAGCUUAGCACUGUCCACAGUGAUGUUCUGUCAAGAGCUCCUUGCAUGACAAUAUGCUCUGCCAAUAACCGGCGGGGAUGGAACAUCGCUGCUGCAAGUGAUAAGCUGACGGCAGUGUGAUGUUCCCUUCCUCAGGAAGCAUGAAGAGGAUUGCAGCGACGGAAUGUGAGGCACAUAACGGAGACGUGGAAAUGUAGGAAGGUAAAGUUAAAGUUUAUUUAAUUUUUUUUAAACAGCCCAGGCACAGGGCUAUAUAAAAACUCCACCCAAAAAAUUUCUUUAAAUAUGUUAUUUUUUCUAUUUAAAAAAAAAAGACUGGCAACAGUUUUCAU